GAGGUCCUAGCUCAGUGGUUGAGCGCUUGCCUCACAUGUGUGAGGCAUUGGGUUCAAUCCACAGUACCACA
rnacentral:tRNA from 1 species